rnacentral:rRNA from 1 species
GAUGAACGCUCGCGGAGUGCCUAACACAUGCAAGUCGAACGAACCUUCGGGUUAGUGGCAGACGGGUGAGUAACGCAUAGGUAACCUGCCCUUAAGUCUGGGAUAACUUCUCGAAAGGGGAGCUAAUACCGGAUAUUCUCUUUCUUUCGUAGGAUUGAAAGAGGAAAGGUUUACUGCUUAAGGAGGGGCCUAUGUCUGAUUAGCUUGUUGGUGGGGUAAAAGCCUACCAAGGCGACGAUCAGUAGCUGGUCUGAGAGGAUGGUCAGCCACACUGGGACUGAGACACGGCCCAGACUCCUACGGGAGGCAGCAGUGGGGAAUAUUGCGCAAUGGGGGAAACCCUGACGCAGCGACUCCGCGUGAGCGACGAAGCCCUUAGGGGUGUAAAGCUCUGUCAAGAGGGAAGAUAAUGACGGUACCUCUUAAGGAAGUCACGGCUAAUUACGUGCCAGCAGCCGCGGUAAUACGUAAGUGGCAAGCGUUAUCCGGAUUUACUGGGCAUAAAGCGCGCGCAGGCGGUAGUUUAAGUCAGGUGUUAAAGGUCAGGGCCCAACCCUGAUUCGCAUUUGAAACUGGGUUACUAGAGGUCAGGAGAGGGAAGCGGAACUCACAGUGUAGCGGUGAAAUGCGUAGAUAUUGUGAGGAACACCAGUGGCGAAGGCGGCUUUCUGGACUGAAUCUGACGCUGAGGCGCGAAAGCAUGGGGAGCGAACGGGAUUAGAUACCCCGGUAGUCCAUGCCGUAAACGGUGUUCACUAGGUGUAGGAGGUAUCGACCCCUUCUGUGCCACAGAUAAUUCGUUAAGUGAACCGCCUGGGGAGUACGACCGCAAGGUUAAAACUCAAAGAAAUUGACGGGGGCCCGCACAAGCAGUGGAGCAUGUGGUUUAAUUCGAUGAUACGCGAAGAACCUUACCAGGGUUUGACAUCUAGAGAAUCCACUAGAGAUAGAGGAGUGCCUUCGGGAGCUCUAAGACAGGUGGUGCAUGGCUGUCGUCAGCUCGUGUCGUGAGAUGUUGGGUUAAGUCCCGCAACGAGCGCAACCCUCACACUGUGUUGCCAGCAUUUCGGAUGGGAACUCACAGUGGACUGCCCGUGGAAAGCGGGAGGAAGGUGGGGAUGACGUCAAGUCAUCAUGCCCCUUACGCCCUGGGCUACACACAUGCUACAAUGGCCGGUACAAUGGGUCGCCAAACCGCAAGGUGGAGCUAAUCUCAAAAAACCGGUCUCAGUUCGGAUUGUAGUCUGCAACUCGACUACAUGAAGUAGGAAUUGCUAGUAAACGCGAAUCAGCUACGUCGCGUUGAAUACGUUCCCGGGCCUUGUACACACCGCCCGUCACACCAUGAGAGUCGGAGACACCCGAAGCCGGUGUGCUAACCGCAAGGAAGCAGCUGUCGAAGGUGGAAUCGGCGAUUGGGGUG